rnacentral:lncRNA from 1 species
GUGAGCCAAAAGAAAACUUCCUUCUGUAAUUUGCUUUUGGAAGGCAUUUUAUCACAACCAUAAGAAAAGUAACUAGAGGGGCUCAGCGGUUAAGAGCACCGACUGCUCUUCCAAAGGUCCUCAGUUCAAGUCCCAGCAACCACAUGGUGGCUCACAACCAUCCGUAAUGAGAACUGACUCCCUCUUCUGGAGUGUCUGAAAUGUACUUACAUUUAAUAAACAAACAAACAAACAAAUGAAAAGAAAAGUAACUAACAUACUAUCCAUGGAUCCAACCAACCAUGGAUAGAAAAUAUUCAGGAAAAAAAGGCUAUGUAUAUUCCAAAUACACAUUGAUCUUUUCUUGUCUAUGGAGGUGAUAUACAGCAUCGAGUAUUCAUGGAGCAUUGGUGUUAGGAACUGCACAUAACCAGAGAUGAUUUAAAGUCUACAAGUGGACUGUGCAGGCUCUAUGUAAGCAUUGUGGAAAACACUAGGCCGCUUUAUACAAAGGUCUUGAACAUCUGUGGAUGCUAGAACAUCUUCUUGCAAAGAUGGUGGUACUGUGGUUUGGAUGGGUUUGUCCAACAAGCUGUUGGAGGCUUGACCCCAUUAUUAUGGUGCUGAGGUGGUGGGACCUUUAAGAGGUGGAGCCUAAUGGGAGGCGUUGCAUCACCAGGGACUUGAUUUUGCAAGGGAUUAGUUCUGGUCUCCAGGGAGCCUGGAAGAGAUGUAUAGAGCAAGGAAGGCUUCUCCAGUGUCUCCCAAUGUGAUACUUUCCUCAGAUCUGGCUCUUUCUGUUUCUCUGUUGUGCUGUGACACAGCCAAGGCCUCACCUGAGUUGGAUCCGAAGGAUCAGGAUCUGCCUAAUCUUGGAUGCUCAACCUCCUAACCGCCGAGCAAAAGAAAACGAUCUUUCUUUUAUUUCAGGAGACUCUGUGUGUGUGUGCUUCUGUGUGUGUGUGUGUGUGUGUGUGUGCUUCUGUGUGUGUGUGUGCUUCUGUGUGUGUGUGUGCUUCUGUGUGUGUCUCUGUGUGUCUGCCUGCCUGCCACAAUUGUGUAUGUGCUCUUGGAGGUCAGAAAAGGAUGUUGAGUCUCCUGGAACUCAGGUCCUCUGGGACUGCAGUUAUCACUCUAAAUGGCUGAAACAGCUUUCUAGUCCCAAACUAUUUAACAUAUACAGGUGGUGAUAUUACAGGGUUCCCAGGAACAUCUUGACCGAGUUCCCCGCUUCCACGACACCACGGUGGCAGGUGCCGAACAUCUCCUGGUCACCUGUGAUGUAUCAAAUCCACAAAUAUCUCUGGAGAAACACCUCUGAAGGGCCAACAGGGAUAGUAGCAAGCAGCGGAAACUGUCCCUGAAGCCAAAUGGAGCCUUCCCUUGGUCACCGUGGCUUUUUGGAUCACCACAUUUUCCUAGUUUUUCUACAAAUCAAUUUUCUUCAAGGAGAAGCGUUUGAAUUUUUAGCUGGUACAAACAAACAAACAAACAAACAAACCAACCAACCAACCACCACCAGCCACUGCAGAGGCUACGGAAGCUCACUCAGUCUAAGGUAGCCAGCUUGUGCCUCCGGCGGCCCGGGAAGGUCACUAUGGGAUAGGAAAAGAGUUCACAAAAGUACCGCCUUGCUGCCCUGAGGUAGUAGGGGAGGGAUGAGGAAGAGAGGUCUUCAUAGAAGAGGAGGCCAGGGGUUGGAGAGAUGGCUCAGUGGUUAAGAGCACUGACUGCUCUUCCAAAGGUCUUGAGUUCAAAUCCCAGCCCAGCAACCACAUCGUGGCUUACAACCAUCUGUAAUGAGAUCUGAUGCCCUCUUCUGGUGUGUCUGAAGACAGCUGCAGUG